rnacentral:rRNA from 1 species
ACACGACUACAUUAGAUACCCCGGUAGUCCUAGCCGUAAACGAUACUCGCUAGGUGUCGGCCACGGUGCGACCGUUGUCGGUGCCGUAGGGAAGCCGUGAAGCGAGCCACCUGGGAAGUACGGCCGCAAGGCUGAAACGUUAAAGGAAUUGGCGGGGGAGCACCACAACGGGUGGAGCUUGCGGUUUAAUUGGAUUCAACGCCGGAAAUCUUACCGGGACCGACAGCAACAUGAAGGCCAGGCUGAAGACUUUGCCGGAUUAGCUG